rnacentral:rRNA from 1 species
GACGAACGCUGGCGGCGUGCCUAAUACAUGCAAGUUGAGCGCUGAAGGUUGGUACUUGUACCAACUGGAUGAGCAGCGAACGGGUGAGUAACGCGUGGGGAAUCUGCCUUUGAGCGGGGGACAACAUUUGGAAACGAAUGCUAAUACCGCAUAAAAACUUUAAACACAAGUUUUAAGUUUGAAAGAUGCAAUUGCAUCACUCAAAGAUGAUCCCGCGUUGUAUUAGCUAGUUGGUGAGGUAAAGGCUCACCAAGGCGAUGAUACAUAGCCGACCUGAGAGGGUGAUCGGCCACAUUGGGACUGAGACACGGCCCAAACUCCUUCGGGAGGCAGCAGUAGGGAAUCUUCGGCAAUGGGCGAAAGGCUGACCGAGCAACGCCGCGUGAGUGAAGAAGGUUUUCGGAUCGUAAAACUCUGUUGGUAGGGAAGAACGUUGGUGAGAGUGGAAAGCUCAUCAAGUGACGGUAACUACCCAGAAAGGGACGGCUAACUACGUG